UUCUCACCCGAAAUUCUUUUCCACCACCGCCGUCUGAAAUGGGAAACUAACUGCAUACAUGUACCUCAGGAGGAUUAACCGAUCUCAACGUACGCCUACCAGCUGCAAGAGAAAUAUGCUUGUAAAUCAAUGAUAGCCAAAUGAAAUUUGAAGAUCUAAGAAGACAAGUACAGAUCAACAUACGCCUAUCUAAUAAACCAGGAAAGGGGUCAUUUGAAGAUGGCAGUAGCAAAGAUAGUUGCUUAUCAUCCUAAUGUCUUAUUGGUUGAGCAUAUCUCUUUAUGUCAAUAUCAAGAGGCCUCUGUUAGAGCAUAUAAAGCGCUGCACAAAUAGUUCCUUCGGUGGAUCAUCUUUUGUCUCAAAAGCCGGGUUAUUGUGAAGCAUUCCAUCUGGAGAAGUUCCUUGAAGCACAUGGGAGUGCUGGGCAGGGAGGAAAAGAAUUGGUGAAGACACUUAUGUUCGUUGAUGGGUGCCUCGACCCAUUGGGUUGUACAAUCUUUCUAAAGUGCAUCAUGGCGAUGAGCUGAAAAAAGUUAAACACGUUCUCCAGUUUGCGUCUUUGCAGCGUAUCACUUUCAUUGGAGACUUCUUUUCUUGCUGAUGAAAAUGGCUCUCUUCCAUAACAUCCAUUGAAGUCUCUCAUAAUUGGCGCCUUGCCCGAUAAACCAUCCAGUAUUAAAUGUCAAUAUCUACUAUACCUGGAUUCGCGGUUGUCCCUACCACAUCCAAACCUAGUCUCAUCCGAGAUAACCUCCCCAGGCGCUAUCUGCAAUCAAAACUUGGAUUUUGGCCAAUCUUCCGGUUUGUCUAAAUUCCCCGCUUGUCAAUACACAGAGGUGACCUGCAGCUUAAUGGCAUAUCCCUCUUCUUCUUCUUCGUUCUACCUACUCCAGCGAAUUAUGUCUCUGGUUUGGUCCGAAAUUAGCCAUAUUGUCCAUCUGAGGUGAAACAUUAAGCAGAAUUUCGAGAUUCUAUGGAUACCGAUGCUUCUGCAUCAAAUAGUUGAUAGGGAAUUGGUGGUAGUCCACUUGCUAAAAGUGCUGAGUUGUUGGGAAGAAAGAUGCAUUAUUUAUUGAUUCCCAAAGAAGCUAUACGAUUACCUAAUGAUUGUGGGUAAUGCAACUGCUAAGGCGAGGUAGUUAUAUUAUACAAGAUAUAAAUGAAACAACCACAUAUAAAGUCAACAUCUUUACAGAAAGACCUUGUAAUCACCUUGACAAGCUAGGACCUUCCAAAGACGAUUUUCCUCCACUCCCUUCGGGCCAUCAAGCAUCUUGGUUUCAUCAUCAAUCUGGAGUAGUGUGGA